UUGUGCCACUUCUGUUCCUGCCAGCCAACCAACGGCCGCUCGAGACUCCGCGAGAAUGCAGCUCGCGUCUCGUAGCGUUCCCCUUCCAACGUUCCAUCGCGCACCCAAGCCGAAAUGCGAACUUCUUCGCACAGCAGCCUCUCGGACGAACAUGCUUCGUGUUCGACGCGUGCUGCAGCGCAGGUUAGUGACCGGCGCCCAAAGGGACCCGCGCCCUUUGACGAGCCCGCCUCGCGGGGCUCGCGUAGCCCUUCGCCUCCGACUGCGCCGCCGAACAGACGCCGCUUUCUCGGUGCGCACACCGCGACGAAAGGUCGCCGAAACAGAUUGUCCCGCAAGAAGUCGCGUCGCAGGAGGAAGAACCGACGCACAGCAGGCGGCUCCCUCUGGACCGGCCGGAGCCUCGGAGUAGACGUACCCUCGCGGACACCGUCGGUUUCCACGGCCAGAGAUCGCUACUGCGCCGGAGGGCUUCGCUCGAAAGCGUCCGGUGGCUGGACCUGCCAUCAUCCGACAUCAGGGGACGAUUCCAGGACACACGCACCUCCCCGUGCGGUUCGGGACGCCACCCCCAGUGCGUAAGGCGUCGCUCGCCAUUGGGCCGGGAACGCCGGCAGGACUGCAGGCACGUCCGGAACCGCGAACUGCGCCGCUUGGCGCCUAGACUCACAUCGCAUUCCAGCCGCAGACGCGUGCUGCUGCUAUCAUUGUUGGGCCAGCUGUCUCCCAUCACGCCGGCACCGCUACGGCUGGUCAUGCCUCAACCUUCUUGGUGUCCUGAUGCCGCAAGGAAUUAUGUGACUCCAUUCUCAGCCAAGUGCACCGUAUCACCGCACUCACCACUGCCAGUUCUGGAAACUACUGUGUAUGCAGUCCGGCAACAUGGAACGGCGUCAGCUCACCCAGCAGCUCAAUAAGGCGCACAUUUCACCGACGCAACGGGCCACGGCACCGCAGUUACGAUGCCACGCUCACCGCUGAUGUUCUUCCAGAUGCUAUCCGCCGUCCUCGUCCAUCUGUUCCUUGCUGCCGGUGUGACUACUUCUGCUGACACACCACCGGCCUGUGGAUUGCUGUGCUACAACUCUGCUCCGCCCACUAUCCAGCUGACAACCAUCAACGUGUCAAGCUUGAACCCGCCGCUAUCUGCUUUCCUGGCGCCACUGCCGCUGCGCCUGGCCCUGGAUGGUGGAUCGUCAGCGCCAUCGUCACCAACAUCAGCUGCGUUGCCAACUAUAAAAGUUUACGCACCCGGUUCUGAGACUACAGAAUGAAGCUCCCGCUUUGCAGAGCAUUUCUGUUUAUCACCUGGUGGAAAUUCGCCUCUUGCACAACACCGUGCAAGAAUUCCUGCCUGCGGGAGUGGUGCCCAGCGCUUAGGGAUCCAACAAAGAACAGCGCGCUUAAUGAUGCCCCUGCUGACCCAGAGAUUCUGGCGCUUUUGGAGGAGAGAAA